rnacentral:rRNA from 1 species
GUGCCAGCAGCCGCGGUAACACCAGCUCCAAUAGCGUAUAUUCAAGUUGUUGCAGUUAAAAAGCUCGUAGUUGGACAUGUGUGCGCUGAUGUUUAGCGGUCUGCGCUCAAAAGAGUGUUACGACAUGCGGCAUCGGCGCCGUAAAAUCUUCAACUGGAUCGUGUCUGGUCUUGAUUGACUGGGCGCUGUUCAUUCGGUUGAUCGUUUACUGUGAGAAAAUUAGAGUGUUCAAGGCAGGCAUUAUUGCAAUUGAAUAUGUUAGCAUGGAAUAAUAAGAUAGGGCUUUCGCAUUUUGUCGGUUUCUAGAGUGGAAGUAAUGAUUGAUAGGGACAGUUGGGG